rnacentral:rRNA from 1 species
UACGGGGGGAGCAAGCGUUGUUCGGAUUUACUGGGCGUAAAGGGCGCGUAGGCGGCCAGUGCAAGUCAGUUGUGAAAUCUCCGAGCUUAACUCGGAAAGGUCAACUGAUACUGCUCGGCUAGAGUGCGGAAGGGGCAACUGGAAUUCUUGGUGUAGCGGUGAAAUGCGUAGAUAUCGAGAGGAACACCUGCGGCGAAGGCGGGUUGCUGGGCUGAUACUGACGCUGAGGCGCGAAAGCCAGGGGAGCGAACGGG